rnacentral:rRNA from 1 species
UGAUCCUGGCUCAGGAUGAACGCUAGCGGCAGGCUUAACACAUGCAAGUCGAGGGGUAACAUUGUAGCUUGCUACAGAUGACGACCGGCGCACGGGUGCGUAACGCGUAUAGAACUUACCUUUUACAGAGGGAUAGCCUUUAGAAAUGAAGAUUAAUACCUCAUAGUAUUAUUGAUUGGCAUCAAUUAAUAAUUAAAGAUUUAUCGGUAAAAGAUGGCUAUGCGUCCUAUUAGCUAGAUGGUAAGGUAAUGGCUUACCAUGGCUACGAUAGGUAGGGGCCCUGAGAGGGGGAUCCCCCACACUGGUACUGAGACACGGACCAGACUCCUACGGGAGGCAGCAGUGAGGAAUAUUGGGCAAUGGAGGUAACUCUGACCCAGCCAUGCCGCGUGCAGGAAGACUGCCCUAUGGGUUGUAAACUGCUUUUAUACAGGAAGAAACACUCGUACGUGUACGAGCUUGACGGUACUGUAAGAAUAAGGACCGGCUAACUCCGUGCCAGCAGCCGCGGUAAUACGGAGGGUCCGAGCGUUAUCCGGAAUCAUUGGGUUUAGAGGGUCCGCAGGCGGUCAAUUAAGUCAGAGGUGAAAUCCCAUAGCUUAACUAUGGAACUGCCUUUGAUACUGGUUGACUUGAGUCAUAUGGAAGUAGAUAGAAUGUGUAGUGUAGCGGUGAAAUGCAUAGAUAUUACACAGAAUACCGAUUGCGAAGGCAGUCUACUACGUAUGUACUGACGCUCAUGGACGAAAGCGUGGGGAGCGAACAGGAUUAGAUACCCUGGUAGU